rnacentral:rRNA from 1 species
ACUGGCAUCAGUUUAUAAUUAAAGAUUUAUCGGUAAAAGAUGGCUAUGCGUCCUAUUAGUUAGUUGGUAAGGUAACGGCUUACCAAGACAGCGAUAGGUAGGGGUCCUGAGAGGGAGAUCCCCCACACUGGUACUGAGACACGGACCAGACUCCUACGGGAGGCAGCAGUGAGGAAUAUUGGACAAUGGAGGAGACUCUGAUCCAGCCAUGCCGCGUGUAGGAAGAAUGCCCUAUGG